rnacentral:rRNA from 1 species
GAUGAACGCUGGCGGCGUGCCUAAUACAUGCAAGUCGAGCGAACAGACGAGGAGCUUGCUCCUCUGACGUUAGCGGCGGACGGGUGAGUAACACGUGGAUAACCUACCUAUAAGACUGGGAUAACUUCGGGAAACCGGAGCUAAUACCGGAUAAUAUAUUGAACCGCAUGGUUCAAUAGUGAAAGACGGUUUUGCUGUCACUUAUAGAUGGAUCCGCGCCGCAUUAGCUAGUUGGUAAGGUAACGGCUUACCAAGGCAACGAUGCGUAGCCGACCUGAGAGGUUGAUCGGCCACACUGGAACUGAGACACGGUCCAGACUCCGACGGGAGGCAGCAGUAGGGAAUCUUCCGCAAUGGGCGAAAGCCUGACGGAGCAACGCCGCGUGAGUGAUGAAGGUCUUCGGAUCGUAAAACUCUGUUAUUAGGGAAGAACAAAUGUGUAAGUAACUAUGCACGUCUUGACGGUACCUAAUCAGAAAGCCACGGCUAACUACGUG